CCUAGAGCCCAGGAAAGGAGCCCCCGGAGCGGGACUGACGCUAAGCCAGCUCCCCCCUCACCCCUCCAAAGAGGAGACCCAGCUCCCCUUGCAGACCUGCCCGGACGGGGAGCUCACCCCCUCUGAGGCCGCCCAUGGCCCCAGGACAGUUCCAGGGUUUAGAAGAUUCUUCUGACUCGAGCUGAAUCUGCUCCACCAGCUUUCCCCCAUGGGCUGCCUUUGCCCUUGGGGUCCUCAGGAUGACUCUCCUGGGACUUGGAGGCUUCUUGUCCUAAGCUAAGCUGCCCGCGUCGGUGCCCGGUGCUCCUAGUUCUGCCUCCAGGACCGAGGAGGCAUGGCAGGGGCCGUCUCGUCCCACUGCUGGUCCCUGACCGGGACUCCCAGUGCCUCUGGCGAGCCGUCAUCGUGCCGCCGAGAACUCCUGGUGACAGAGAGCUUUUGGUCUCCUUCUGCUCCUUGUUUCUCAUUGUGGCCACCGGCACCGGCCAGGGCAGCGUCGGCAGGAUCCAUGCCCGGUCCGGAGGCAGCUCUGUCCUGGUGGGCUGGACUGCGGUGUGGACUGAUGUCUAGAACCUACAGAGACGCCGAGACCCAUUCUUGGUCCUGGAGGAGUUCCCGGCCUCACUGGGGAUGAACACACGCGUGAGAAGCUGGGCUGGACCCCGGAUCCCAGAUGGAUGGAAACUACUAGUGAAGGGACUCAGCCACCAGAGCAGGGCGCCUGCCCUGCAGCUCAGCCUUUCCCAUGCGUGGAUUGAUCUCUCCCGGAUCUCUCCCCUGAGCCCUCCCAUCUAGCAAGAAUAAAAAGGAGGAGAAAAUAAAACA
rnacentral:lncRNA from 1 species